GUCUAGGAAGGAGAAGCGGCUCUCACUGUGGAUGUAUAGACUAUACAUGAUGGGAACCUGCAUCUCAAUGAUCCUCUUCAUUUAUCUCCUGAUCCCUCACACUACUGGAGUGAACCUUGGAGCUGGAAUACUGAUAUCCUCGGUAGUACUAGCCCAUAUGACUGCCUGGAACAUCAAACUUACUUACCCCUGCUCUACAAAUGAAUCUGAAAACAAUUCGGAGGGUUAGCCACUAGAGCUUGGAGUUCUCUGAUAGUUGAUUUGUACUAACUCAGUCCUAGUCAUCUAAUGGAUCUGACAAUGACAUAGAGGGUUAGUGAUUGUUGAGGAAGUUCUGACUAUAACUAUAAUAGUAUGAUUCGCUGUUUGACUGG